GCACAAGCAGCGGAGCGUGUGGUUUAAUUCGAUGCAACACGAAAACCUUACCAAGGCUUGACAUGUCGGAAGUAGCGACCAGAAAUGGAAGCCACCUGUUAAAUCAGGAGCCGGCACAGGUGCUGCAUGGCUGUCGUCAGCUCGUGCCGUGAGGUGUUGGGUUAAGUCCCCCAACGAGCGCAACCCUCGUUGCCAGUUGUUUUCUCUGGCGAGACUGCCCUGCAAAACGGGGAGGAAGGUGGGGAUGACGUCAAGUCAGCAUGGCCUUUAUGCCCUGGGCUACACACACGCUACAAUGGGUGGGUACAGAGGGUUGCCACGGAGCAAUCCGGAGCGAAUCCCUUAAAACCAUCCUCAGUUCGGAUUGUAGGCUGCAAUCGCCUGCAUGAAGCCGGAGCUGCUAGUAACCGCAGGUCAGCUAUACUGCGGUGAAUACGUUCCCGGGUCUU
rnacentral:rRNA from 1 species